GGGCGAUUAGCUCAGUUGGGAGAGCACCUGCCUUACAAGCAGRGGGUCACUGGUUCGAACCCGGUAUCGCCCACCA
rnacentral:tRNA from 1 species